rnacentral:lncRNA from 1 species
CACCUGCCUCGGCCUCCCAGAGUGCUAGGAUUCCAGGCAUGAGUCACCAUCCCCGGCCUGUACAGUCUCAUGAUUAUCUUCCAAAGAGUUUUUAAUUUUUUAUUACUUCUGAAACUCGUAAGUUAUAAAAGAAUCAAAGCAUUAUCUGAGAUGUCAGCUAGUCCAAUGACUGUAAACCAGGGUGGUGGAGUGGUAGUGGGUUUAUCUAAAUCACUUCUGAAGCACUUUUCCAAUAACAGCCUCCCUAUCUUCUGGAAGAAUUCUGGUAUGGCAACCAUGUUACAGUGGCAGUGGGAGUGAGGGGGGACGGGAGGUGAGUGAGCACCUGGGUUGUUUGCUAAACUACUUUAGCAAUUAUUGUGAUAGGUACCUACCCCCCAGAAUGCCCCCAAAACAUAUAACUAGUUGAAGACAAAACCAGAGUUUGAUGCAAAAACUCCUGCCAGUUUUAGUCUAGUCUUUUCCUAAUUAUUUUGCUUUGCCCUGACAAUUCAUCUUCAUCUCCAUAAUCCUUAUUAGUUCCAGAUAGAAACUUCCUUUAAUUUACUUAAACUCUGUUCUGGGAGCUCCCCUGCUCUCAUCUUCUACACUUAAAAACAAAUGAACAAAUUAAUGAACAGACAGCAACACAAACAAGCUAAAACAAACGGGCAGAGACGAUCAACUAUACACUGAAAACUCAUUUUCUCAUUUCCUGGCCUGGGGUUAUUGCUGGGGGUCAGCUUCCCAGCCAGGUGCUGCUUUUCUUAGGCCCUUUUGCAUCCAGGGGCAUCCAUGCACUCAUCAGUUAUCAACCACCAAUCAAGCAGCUGUCUUCUUUCCCGUGUCUAAUCAGACAAGGGUCAUCUGUCACAGAACUAUCCAAUCAGCAUUAAGGUGCCGAGUACAAAAGGCUGCUCAAAGAGAGAGUUUUUCUGACCAACAACAUUCUACUUUAUUGAGGAUUUGGAUGUGAGAGAGAUAUAUAUAUGGAAAGCUGACAUUUGGCUGUGGGAGCAGAAGUAAAAAGAGACACGGCGAGACGGACCUGAGGGGUCAUAUUGAAAAUAUUAGACAAUUGAUGUAAUACAGGCACCUGACCAGCACUGACCAAUCAGAGGAAAUUCCAGGUAUAAACAUUUGAAACAUCUUACAGAACCAGUUUCCAGACCCUAUUUAUUGAUGACACUGUCCUCUCCUAAUUGUGUGUAUUUUGCACCUUUUUCAAAAAUCAAUGGACUAUAAAUGGGUUAUAAAGACUGUGACUUCUGCCUUGCUGAUAUUCUCUCUCCCUGGGUCAUCUCCUGUGCUUGCUUUGAUGGAAAGACCUACCAGGAAAGCCUCUUGCAAACAGCCAGCAACAAAGUGAGGUUCUCAGUCCAGUAGCUUGUGAGAAACUGUAUCAUGCUAGCAACCAUGGAGUGAAAUUGGAAGUGGAUGCUACUUCAGUUGAAUGUUAAGAUGACUGCAGCCUGGGCUGACACCGUAAUAACAGUCUCAUGAAGACUCUGAGGCAGAGGACCCACCUAGAUGAACUGUGCCUGAAUUCUUGACCUACAAAAACUGAAGCUACCAAAGGGCGCUGGAUUGAUGGUGUCACCUACUGACCAAAAUCCAAACCACCAGGACACAAUCACCUCCUCUCUGGGGCUCUCAAAGAAUUAUCAACGAAUUUCACCCUUCACCCAGUUUCAAUGAGCUCACCUAUGAAUGUAAACUAGAAAUCACAAGUCCCAUGUGAGAAGAAAAGACCUGGGGAGCCAUGUAAGAGUGGGGAUGAAGUGAGGAGACAACAUCCUUAUCAAUGUCUGACUUCUAUACUUUUCAGUCCUUAAGGCUUUGCUUUCAAUCUGCCCUGUGGGGAUCCCCGAGAAAUCUUGGAAGCUGUGUUACUGGCGAUGAUGGGACAAGAGAUUGGACACACCUCGUUAUACCCCCUCGUCACUAACUGACAUUAAGUAUUGCUUCUUAUGGAUUAAACAGAAACGAGCCAUUCUGAAAGACUCCACACCAAUAUCAACAAACUCCCUGAUGCUUUCCCUCCCUGUCUGCAGUUUCAACACAACUAACCAGUACUUCUCUCUUAUAAGACCAUCAACCACUGAGUGGUUCUGGCAAGUCUAUGGAGGAUGCACAGUGAGGUUUUUUUUUGUGUCCUGUUUUUCACCUUUUGACAUCAGAGGGCCAAAAUCUCUACCCUCAAAUCAUGCUAAUGCUGCCAUGGGACCCAUGGAGAGGCAUGAAGCUCAAUUGUACAUAUGCAUGCUUGUCCUUUCAUAAAUAUGCAUUACUCCUCUUAUAGCUUAUGAAUAUGCAUAUUUGGCCACCCCAUUCAGCAUAAAUCCCUGUCUUGUUCUCCCAAUCCUUGAAGUGCCUGUUUAUAGCCUCUAGGCCAGAGACUAUGCUUCCCAGCCUGUCAGAAUGGCCACCCUGCAGACUGCAAGCCAUUAUGAGAAAUAAAGCACUCUUUUUAAAAUUUAUGAACCUUGUCAUUCUUCAGUUGACAGUUUUAAGCUGAUAGAAAGAACUAUUAGUACUACUUUUAUGCUUAACAUUACAAAAUGUUUUUCUUUGUAGGAGGGAAAUCACAGGUAAAAUACAUCUUCAAAGGCAACCUAAAAUAGAAACAGU